AGCAGCGUGUCGAGCAGCUUUCCCGCUCGUCCGACGAAGGGGAGGCCAAGUAGGUCCUCCUGCUGCCCGGGCGCCUCGCCGACGAACAUGAGGUCGGCAUUGGCGUUACCGGCCCCGAACACCGCCUUGGUCCGGGUCCGGUGGAGAGGGCAGCGCUCGCAGUGCGACACCUCGCGAAAGAGCUCCACGAGCUCCUCGCGGCGCUCGUUUGCGCUGCGCGGCUCCACGCGACGUAAGACUAGGACCCGGAGUCGACGGCAUGGCUC
rnacentral:misc_RNA from 1 species